rnacentral:rRNA from 1 species
UACGUAGGGUGCAAGCGUUACUCGGAAUUACUGGGCGUAAAGCGUGCGCAGGCGGCUUUGCAAGUCAGAUGUGAAAUCCCCGGGCUUAACCUGGGAACUGCAUUUGUGACUGCAGGGCUGGAGUGCGGCAGAGGGGGAUGGAAUUCCGCGUGUAGCAGUGAAAUGCGUAGAUAUGCGGAGGAACACCGAUGGCGAAGGCAAUCCCCUGGGCCUGCACUGACGCUCAUGCACGAAAGCGUGGGGAGCAAACAGG